rnacentral:rRNA from 1 species
UACGUAGGGUGCGAGCGUUAAUCGGAAUUACUGGGCGUAAAGCGUGCGCAGGCGGCGCGUUAAGACAGGUGUGAAAGCCCCGAGCUUAACUUGGGAAUUGCGCUUGUGACUGGCGUGCUGGAGUGUGGCAGAGGGAGGUGGAAUUCCACGUGUAGCAGUGAAAUGCGUAGAGAUGUGGAGGAACACCGAUGGCGAAGGCAAGCUCC